rnacentral:rRNA from 1 species
UACGGAGGGUGCAAGCGUUAUCCGGAUUCACUGGGCUUAAAGGGCGCGUAGGCGGGCGGCCGCGUCCGGGGUGAAAUCCCACGGCUCAACCGUGGAACGGCCUCGGAUACGGGCGGCCUCGAGGGGGGUAGGGGCAUCUGGAACUGUGAGUGGAGCGGUGAAAUGCGUUGAUAUUCACAGGAACUCCGGUGGCGAAGGCGAGGUGCUGGACCCCAUCUGACGCUGAGGCGCGAAAGCCAGGGGAGCGAACGGG